UACGGAGGGUGCAAGCGUUAUCCGGAAUCACUGGGUUUAAAGGGUGUGUAGGCGGCACUGUAAGUCAGGGGUGAAAGGCUGCAGCCUAACUGUGGAAUUGCCUUUGAUACUGCGGUGCUAGAAUGCGAGUGAGGUAAGCGGAAUGUGGCAUGUAGCGGUGAAAUGCAUAGAUAUGCCGUGGAACACCAAUUGCGAAGGCGGCUUGCUAGAUCUUUACUGACGCUGAGGCAAGAAAGCGUGGGGAGCGAACAGG
rnacentral:rRNA from 1 species